rnacentral:lncRNA from 1 species
CGCAGGUCCAAAUCACACCCAGGGAUCCUCUUCUUCCCCCCUUCCCACCUCGUCCCAAUUCCUAAACAAAGCGGCCAGGUGGAGCGAAUCGGAUCCAUCGCCCACGAUUCGAUUCUUCACUAAUUUCCAAACCGGCCCCCUUCCUUCGCAUCUCCUCUCCAUCUCUUUUGUUCUUUCUAAUCACCUUCAUCACAUCAAAAACCCUUGCUUUUG